rnacentral:misc_RNA from 1 species
GAAAUGCGAUAAGUAAUGUGAAUUGCAGAAUUCAGUGAAUCAUCGAAUCUUUGAACGCACAUUGCGCCCGCUAGUAUUCUGGCGGGCAUGCCUGUCCGAGCGUCAUUUCAACCCUCGAACUCUGUUCGGUGUUGGGGAACGACACUAGUCGUCCCUUAAAUAGAGUGGCGGUCUCGCUGUAGCUCCUCUGCGCAGUACUUUCACCUCGCAGUAAGAGAGCAGCGCGGCCUCGCCGUAAAACUCCCCAAUUUUUUCAGGUUGACCUCGGAUCAGGUAGGAAUACCCGCUGAACUUAA